CUAUCUCUCCCUUUCUCUCUCACUUUCUCUCUCUCCCUCUCCGCGCACACACGCGCCCACACGUUCUCGCACCAAACAGAGCGCGAGGAAGCGAACAGAAUACUUGGAUGAAGCGCGCGGGGCGUGCUGCGCGUCAAGUUCAAGUUACCCUGACUGACACACCGCUGACAACUCUGCACAAGUCAGAAAAAUAAUACGCAUGUAUGUGUGCAUCUCGCACUCAUCAUGGUCACAACAACAGCAACACCGGUUUGGUUUGUCCUGGGACAUGAUUCCACAGAUGACCACCGAGGCUGAGACAUGGUGCCAGGAUUUCAGAAGUGAGGAAAAACCAGGCUUCAUCUGUUCUUGAGCAAACAGCUUGUGCAUUUAAAAAAAGAGAAAUAUUCCAUUUGACAUGCAAAUGGAAACCAAAUAAAUGUUGUCUUGCAUUGA